GGGGAAUUUUGGACAAUGGGGGGAACCCUGAUCCAGCCAUGCCGCGUGUCUGAAGAAGGCCUUCGGGUUGUAAAGGACUUUUGUACGGGAAGAAAGGCUUUGGGCUAAUACCCUGAAGUUAUGACGGUACCGUAAGAAUAAGCACCGGCUAACUACGUGCCAGCAGCCGCGGUAAUACGUAGGGUGCGAGCGUUAAUCGGAAUUACUGGGCGUAAAGCGAGCGCAGACGGUUACUUAAGCAGGAUGUGAAAUCCCCGGGCUUAACCUGGGAACGGCGUUCUGAACUGGGUAACUAGAGUAUGUCAGAGGGGGGUAGAAUUCCACGUGUAGCAGUGAAAUGCGUAGAGAUGUGGAGGAAUACCGAUGGCGAAGGCAGCCCCCUGGGAUAAUACUGACGUUCAUGCUCGAAAGCGUGGGUAGCAAAC
rnacentral:rRNA from 1 species